AUGAGUUAUCGUUAUCGUUGUUGGGGAUUGAACAUUACAUAUAUUGAAGAAGUUUGAAAGAUCAAGUUUUUUAAAUUCCUACAACCCAAAGCAGAAGAUAUAGAAAGAGCCCACAGCACAGAAAGCUUUGUCUUGGGGAGCUCUCUCUACAGACUUGGUACAUGACUGGUAUCCACCCGAGGUUGUGCCUAUUUGUCUGUCAUCAUGCCUGAAGAGAAUUUGCAUACAGGGAUUCAAAGGACAAAAAGGUGAGAUUGGUGUGACAGAGUACUUGUUGAAAGCACGGUCAGGUUUUGAAUAAGGUAACAAUUUAUACUAGUGAUUUCUGGGAAGACUCGGUGGAGGAGUUCUGGCAAAAAUGAUCAAAACUCCAAAGAGGUUCUAGGAGUUGUAAGAUUGAAUGAUCUUUUGAUCUUUAUGAAUGGAUCCUUUAUUUGCUGGUAGGCGUUAAAUUUAUUUGCAGUUGUAGUGUAACCUUGUGACAUUAGCUUCACUUCUGAAGCUCACU
rnacentral:lncRNA from 1 species